rnacentral:lncRNA from 1 species
AAGAAGAGUAUGCAGCAAUGAUGGUGGUGCCGCUUGGCCAUGCCAUGGUCCCCCAUUAAGAAUCACUCCAGUAGCACCUCACCAGCAGCCAAUCACUCAGCACCUUCAUCUUCAUCUUCUCUAACAUUUUUUUAUAAUGUUUUUCAUUAGAGAAAAUACAUAAAAGCAUUUCAUUUGAACAGGAAAAAUAGAAAACCGAGAAGUGAGCGAUACAUGAACAGACACCUGUCGAUGUAAAAACCCUCUCUAUAAUAUUCAUAACACAAACCUUCCCCUGUAAAUGAGUUCUGCUGCCACGCUCUCUCAAUGUUCUUCUCUUCCUUAGUCUUUCCGCCGCCGUUAGGUUUUUCCUCCCAUCUUCCUCUGCACCACACCAUACCCCAAAGCUGCUUAAUUAAGACAUGAAUUGCUGAAAAACCAUCACCAUGAUGACACCUAUUGUUUCCUCUCAUCAACCCUCUUUUUUUUCCCAAUAAAUGUUUCACCCUCGCUCUCAAAUCUCCCUCUGCAAGAACAAAAAAGUAAAAUCAAACACUUCGUCCUUUUUAGUACCAGUAACCUUGACACCCCCGACCUUGUCUUUUACUAAAGGAAAAGGAAAGCAAACCCUACCCUUAAAUUCUCCGAAGUGGCGA